GACGUAGGGCGCGAGCGUUGUCCGGAUUUAUUGGGCGUAAAGAGCUCGUAGGCGGCUUGUCGCGUCGACUAGUGAAACCCGUGCUCACCAUGUGGUCUGCAGUCGAUACGGGCAGGCUAGAAUUCGGUGAGGGAGACGUGGAAUUCCUGGUGUAGCGGUGAAAUGCGCAGAUAUCAGGAGGAACACCGGUGGCGAAGGCGGCUACCUGGACCGGUUCUGACGACUG
rnacentral:rRNA from 1 species